rnacentral:lncRNA from 10 species
GGACAAAUAAAAAGGAAACAAGCAUGAUUGUGAGGGCAGAGGAGCGUGGGACUGAGUCAGGAGACUGGUGCUGUCAUCGCUGCCUGGUGACUGACUUGCUGUGUGGCCCUCAGGUGUAACUUACCCUCUCUGGGCCUCAUUUGUCUAAUCAUAAUAAUUAACGCUGAUACCAUGAUAUAAAUCUGUACAGCAUUUCACUGCUUGAUUCCCUAACUGCCCUGUGAGAUAAGCGUUAAGGCUCAGAGACAGUGGCAUGCCCAGUGUUGCACAGUAAGUGUGUGGUAAAGCCGAGAUUCAAACUCAGACCUUCUGGCCCCUUGCCUAGGAGAGCAUGCCCAGUUGUCUAGCAGAUUCUCUUUUGCCUGAGUGGCCCAGAUGACAUCUCUUUUAGAGCUAGAAAGAAGGAGAAAUGAGACAGGGUCUUUGGGCUGGAGCCUCCUGGGACUAACAUGGCACUGGUCGGUUUGCCAGGCCCAGACAUGUUCUGCCUUUUCCAUGGGAAGAGAUACUCCCCCGGCGAGAGCUGGCACCCCUACUUGGAGCCACAAGGCCUGAUGUACUGCCUGCGCUGUACCUGCUCAGAGAACCUCACACUCCCUCUGGACUCCGGGCCCCACCAAAGUCCUGCCAGCACAACGGGACCAUGUACCAACACGGAGAGAUCUUCAGUGCCCAUGAGCUGUUCCCCUCCCGCCUGCCCAACCAGUGUGUCCUCUGCAGCUGCACAAUGAGGCAAGUGAGCAAUCGGAUGAAGAGGACAGUGUGCAGUCGCUCCAUGGGGUGAGACAUCCUCAGGAUCCAUGUUCCAGUGAUGCUGGGAGAAAGAGAGGCCCGGGCACCCCAGCCCCCACUGGCCUCAGCGCCCCUCUGAGCUUCAUCCCUCGCCACUUCAGACCCAAGGGAGCAGGCAGCACAACUGUCAAGAUCGUCCUGAAGGAGAAACAUAAGAAAGCCUGUGUGCAUGGCGGGAAGACGUACUCCCACGGGGAGGUGUGGCACCCGGCCUUCCGUGCCUUCGGCCCCUUGCCCUGCAUCCUAUGCACCUGUGAGGAUGGCCGCCAGGACUGCCAGCGUGUGACCUGUCCCACCGAGUACCCCUGCCGUCACCCCGAGAAAGUGGCUGGGAAGUGCUGCAAGAUUUGCCCAGAGGACAAAGCAGACCCUGGCCACAGUGAGAUCAGUUCUACCAGGUGUCCCAAGGCACCGGGCCGGGUCCUCGUCCACACAUCGGUAUCCCCAAGCCCAGACAACCUGCGUCGCUUUGCCCUGGAACACGAGGCCUCGGACUUGGUGGAGAUCUACCUCUGGAAGCUGGUAAAAG